CCGCGGCACCAACGCGGACACGCCGAGCCCGUCCGCAGGAGCGGCCUCGCGCGGCGCGGUCACCCCGAGCUCCGCACCGGGCCCGACCGAGGGGCUGUGCCGGCCGCGGCCCCGCAGCGCUGUCCCGCAACGGACGGGCGGCCCCGCGUUCCCCGAGCCGAGAGCGGAGCGGUACGGGCGCGGCUGCGCAGUCACGGCCGCGUGGCGGUGCUCUGCUGCGCGUGGGACGCGGCCCGAACUGCUCGGGGUUGCGGGAGGACAAAGCUCCGGCCCGACGCUAACGCGGGCUCCAGGAGUCUCGAGUGGAACGCCGCUGACCGGGCCCGGUUCCACCACCGCCUCGCACGCCCGUCCUUCCCUCCGCACAUUCCAGCGCGUGAGGUUUAAUUCUCCCAUGUAAAUGCACACACAGGACGUUGCUGCAAUCACCACCGAACACCACUUCUCUGUUCGCACCUCAAAUAUGAACCCAGCUGCUGUGUACUCUGCUCUGGAUGUCAGGAGAUCCCCUGUGACACUCCCACAUGGAGCACCCACGACACAACUUUUGCACAAUGACCCACUAAAGCAAAAAGGUAAUAUUUAAAGGAAAAGCACCAAGAAGGUCUGAACAGAAAAAUGAUGAUACUUUGAAGAGAUCUGAAAACUUUACAUUAGAGAAGCUAACAGGAAUGCUAUCCUACUUCUUAUAUACAUUAAACAUAUUUAAGAAGCUUACAAAAUACAUUCCUUUUCAUCAUGUACAACUUAAACACUACUAGUGUAUGAAUGCUACCACACCAGAAGAAACUGCUUUGAAGGAUGAUCCAUGUGAUCUCAGCUAGAGCCCCUUUAGAGCUGCAUCCUUGUUUCCUUUCUGCUAACCUGCUCUCCACUAUUAAGUAACAUGUCUAACCAUAUCCUUGGUGUUCCCUCUGAGAACUUACAUAUCAGAUACGUGUUUUUCCACUGUAACUCAAAUAUAGACACAUAAUUGCUCCAUGAUCCCAGAAGGGAGGGCUCCUUUUAUCAUUACAUUUAAAUGGCUAUAGCAUCAAUACCUUCAUUGUGUAGAAUUGCACAAAGUUAUCUUCUGAUUAACUCUAGACCACAAUCAGAACUACUGGUGUUCAGAAAUGGCUCCAAUACCUGGGGUGAGAGCACAUCCCAACUGAGUUUGGGCUGUUAGGUAGAGAGGAAUCAUCCAGCACUCUCCUCAGACCCUACCCUCAACAGGAAGGAAACCACAAGGAUCCCAUGCCAUGCUUCAGCUACGCUGGAUCAAGGGACCAGGACCCUGCACCAUGCCUGUCAGCUGGAGGAAGCUGCACACAGAGUUCACACUAAAUUACUCUCCACAGUACAUACUGGUAAAAGACACUUUGCUCUCAUGCAUUGCUGCAUAGCUGCACAGAAGAACAGGGGUGAUUUAGGUCAGCACAUUUGCCUUAUUAAGGAAAAAUGUCAACAGCUGGCCUUAAAGAUAGAGACAGAGGAGAGUCCCAUGAAGGGUUAUGAGGAGGGUCAGCAUGGUUCUCUAUAUAGAACUCAAAGGGAGGAUUAGAAAAAGGUGCUUACUUUAUAACUGACAUCCAGAAUUAACAUCUAAAGAUGUGUACCUGAGCACUGAGAACCCCAGCUGUUGUAUCAGAGCAUGAUUUGGUUGCACUCUGCCCUGUCAUUACUAACUUGGAGGUUUCUCAAUGGAGAAAUGUGUUCUGUACUGACAAAGAGUUCCCUCCCACAACAUCAGGUCCUUUUUGGAAUGUUCUCUCUUCCUGGAAAUACAGUCUAUCACCCAGUUACAGGCCCUGAUUUUAUUACAAUCUCAUAAUGCUGACAGCAAAUGCUGCCAGGAAUGGAACACCAGGAACCUCCUCAUGCCAGAGGAGCACAGAGCAGCACCACGGGCAUCCCACACCCACAGCUGCAUCACUUCACACCGACCUGUGCUGACCUCGUUCUGCUGUUUGACUACAUACAGAAGCCAGCUGCACAUCAUUUAAUUCUUAGCACAGGACAUUCGUAACUGAGCAGUGUCUGUGUCAAGAAGCCUGACACACGCUUAUUGGUGGAAAUCAGGUCUGCUCGAUUCCGCUUUCCAGCAUUCCUAUGACAACACCAUUCUCCCAUGGUUGAAGUUUUUUAUCUGUGCUUAAAGAUACACUUAGUACUUGGAAAGUGGAAAAAGUCAGGCAUGAUGUUAUAUUUACGCUAUGUAUACAAAUCUCCAAUGUCAUUUACCAACAUGAUUGUUUAUAGUACAACUCUCACUGAGAUCCCCUCCAUUUUACUUCCAUAUCAUCAAAUUAAUGGUUUUCCAUGUGUUCUCUUUAAUUUUUUUUUACAUUCUGUAGGGUCAGCAGAAAUGUUAUAGAUAGAAAUAAAACCAGUACUUCAUUAACAAAGCAAGGAGGAAGGCUCCUGACUGACAGAUUGUAAGGAAGGACCUGCUGGAGGACCCAGAACAUUUGGAAGCAAAUACUCAGUUUCAGCGCUGCAUGAUUUUCUCAGUCUCUGUGAGCACAGUAUUCCCUUUUUCAGAAAGCCAAUUCCAUAGCAUGAACCAAUUCAUUUCAGGAUGGACGGCAUGAAAAACCGUUUGUAUACGGAUGUUCUGAAAAGCCAGAGCUCCCUCUAUCGACUGAGACUGCAGGAAGGACAUUUGUCCUGCACACAGGAAAAGAUACGGAGGCACUGUCAGCAAUUACUUAUCUGCAACUGUACCAAACCAUUUGAAGUACUGUUUCCUGUUAAAGCUUUCCACAUAUGAAGAUCACUAAAAAAAACUGACAUAAAGAUUGACAUCCCCAUAUAAAAAAACCUCAAAUAGCAACAAAGAAAUAACAAAGAAUACAGAAAAAGUAAACAACUGAGCAGAAAAUAGGAACCUGCUCCGCUUUUCUCACUGUUGUGGCAUUCCAGAUCAAUGGAUGCAGCUUCUUCAAUUAAUAUUUCUUUGCUUCACUCACAAACACUGCUAAUUCAGACCUCCUUGCCUACCUCAUUGGAUGUCAUUCUGCUCUGCUAAGGGCCUCUGUCCUGCACACCUUCAGUGCUGAUAGAAAUUGGGGCACUCCAGAAGUAACAUCUAUACUUAUUUCCACAGAAACUACAGCAGCUACAGAGAGCACAACAGCACUGUUGGAUAGAGCACAUGCUCAGAUAUAGAAUGCUAUUUUCCAAUACAAAUACCAAGACUAGUUGUGCGUUUUUUAUUCAUGAUGAACAAGAGGUUGCAUGCCACAUAUGACUGCUGGCACUGCUGGCACUGCUGAAUUGCAGCACCCACCCCUCACUGUGCUCACAGCCACUGCUUGCUCCCCAUAUAUGCUCAGUGUCAAUAACUGCAUGCAGGAUGCUCCUGGCUGAUCAGCACAGGCUGAGGAAAAGGGUCAGAAGCUACUAACCGUGCAUAUAAUAGCUUUACUGGUAUUACUCACUUUUGUUUUCUGUAACAAAUCUGGACCAAUGACAAUUAGACUCUUCAGAUGUCAAUUAUACUAAAACUAAUUUCCUGGCUCUCCUGUAUCUUAGUGUCCUUCUACUUUGUCCAUACAGAAGACUUUGAGCACAAGCAGUGCUUCACAAAGGUGAAGGCCACCAGGCAGAGAAAGGCAGUGCCUGGCACAACAUGGUCAUUCAAAGCAAUUAAGCAACUGAAAAUCAAUUUCUGUGCCUGUAAAACAACCCUCAGCUUAUUCUUGACCUAUCACUCUGCCAUUACACCACUACACAAUCUGCUGUUAUCUUAUCUUGCUGCAAGAUGCAAACAAUGCAACACUAUCCCUGCACAAAGCAACAACACUGUGUUGUGGCCCUUCUGCUGGAGCAGGAGAGCAGUGGUCACUGGCAAGGGCUCAAGCUGCAUUAGCACAUGCUACACACAGCUACUGAACUGCAUCUUUUGGAAGUUCAGAUCAGUAGCUCCAGCUAUUUGCAGCAUUAUCUUUGAGAAUGAUUUCCUGAGGCUGAAAUGAGCCUGAUGCCCCUCACACACUGACCCACCCAGAUUUCUGUGGUUCAUCUCUGCUGACUAUGCAUAUGCUCCUAUUCACAGUGAAGAAAAGGUCCUCCUCCUCAUUAUUAAUCCAAGCCAACUCCACAUGAUCUGUGCUGUUUUGAUUUGGCUGCAGGUACUGCAAGUUAAUAUCAAUAAAUUAUUUCCAGAAGGGCUCAUGACUAACCUCAUCUUCUUAUACGACAAAAAUUAUUUUUAACAUAAAAGUGGUGCUUUGGGGGUAAAACUACAAGAUGUUUUAUUCAGAAUCCAUUAUGGUAAAAUUCCAAAAACAUUUACCAUAUAUGGGGACUGAAUGGGAGAGCAAACAUUACCAUGUGCUGCAAAGAAUACUGCUUAUUAUUUUCUGAGAUGUGUGACAGCCUAAAGCAAUCUUUUACAGACAGCCCAAGUAAUGCUUCCAUGUGAUAUUAAGGAUACACAAAGGUGCUGCAUCAUUACAGGUGACUGUUCCAGGAGUCAUUAAUAUGCAACCAAAGAGCCUGUUUGGAAAAAGGUCAUUAGAAAGUACCUAAGAAAAGCAGGUUACUGUUAGUGGCCUUUAUCUGCCCACUGCCAUCUAUACUUGCUGCUAGGCACGACAGAAUAGCCUGGCUACGUGCUCUCUGCAGCCCACUUUUGGGAACCAAUGCUUGUAAGGUUCCAACACAGAGAACAACCUCCCACCAAAGUCCAGCUGCUACUUUUUUAGCUCUGGAACUGUAGCACUGUUUUGUUUGUUCUUGUCCUGUAACUCCUUGCCCCACAAAAAGCUCAGUGAAACCCAGGCAGUCUCAUGCCACCAUUUCUAAGCCACCAAAGUCACUGAUUUCACAGCUUAGUGGACUGCUUUUACCAAAAAACUGGGCCACACACCCCAGUAUUCAUUAUUCUCGAGUACCAGACAAAUGUGAGUUCAUAACAUCAAUAGAAGCCCUGACAGUUCUCAGGGGAUUAGCAAAACAAACAAGAAAUAAAGAUUAUUCUCUCCAAAACUUUGCAGUAUCCACAUAUGAAGCAUGGGGAAAUAAAUAAUACAGAGCAACAACAACAACAAAAAAGGAAGAAUGAGGCCUAACAAGUCUUUGGUACUCUGGAUCUGGAGUGAUACACAGGACUUAAACUGUAGACACAAAAACUAUAAAAUAGUUUCCAGUAUAAGAACAAAGACCAGCUCAUACAGUUAUAACAAAGAGUUCAAGAGGAAAAUGUGGAGAUGAGGAACAUGGUAACAGAAAUAUCAACUGCGAAAGGCAGUGAUUAGGGGAACACAGCUGAGAGCAGAAAAUACUGCCACGUCUGAUAUUAUUGCUGGUACAGCACCCAGUGUUAAAAAUUCAGUAUAACAGUAGGCCCAACUGCACAACAAAAUGAAUCACAAACAUUAUGCUUAGAACGCCGUUUCUGUAGGCAGAGCAGAGCACAUACUUAAACCACGGCACAGUGUAACUUCACACAGAAGGACAAAGUGUGAAGCGUUGGGAUGACUCUGCAAGUAUGGAAGGUACAGAAAUAGUCUGAAUGUGCAUAACAGCUCUUCAGCUGCAGCAGUAAAC